rnacentral:rRNA from 1 species
GACGAACGCUGGCGGCGUGCUUAACACAUGCAAGUCGUACGGUAAGGCCCUUUCGGGGGUACACGAGUGGCGAACGGGUGAGUAACACGUGAGUAACCUGCCCACAACUUUGGGAUAACGCUAGGAAACUGGUGCUAAUACUGGAUAUGUGCUCCUGCUGCAUGGUGGGGGUUGGAAAGCUCCGGCGGUUGUGGAUGGACUCGCGGCCUAUCAGCUUGUUGGUGGGGUAGUGGCCUACCAAGGCGGCGACGGGUAGCCGGCCUGAGAGGGUGACCGGCCACAUUGGGACUGAGAUACGGCCCAGGCACCUACGGGAGGCAGCAGUGGGGAAGAUUGCACAAUGGGCGCAAGCCUGAUGCAGCAACGCCGCGUGCGGGAUGACGGCCUUCGGGUUGAAAACCGCUUUCAGCAGGGACGAAGCUUUUUGUGACGGUACCUGCAGAAGAAGCACCGGCUAACUACGUG